AUACGUAGGUGGCGAGCGUUGUCCGGAUUUACUGGGUGUAAAGGGCGAGUAGGCGGGCUUGCAAGUCAGAUGUGAAAUACCGAGGCUCAACUUCGGGGCUGCAUUUGAAACUGCGAGGCUUGAGUGAUGGAGAGGCAGGGGGAAUUCCCACUGUGGCGGGUAAAAGCAUAGAUAUUGGGAAGAACACCAGUGGCGAAGGCGGCCUGCUGGACAUUAACUGACGCUGAGGAGCGAAAGUGUGGGGAGCAAACAGGAUUAGAUACCCUGGUAGUCCACACCGUAAACGAUGGAUACUAGGUGUGCGGGGACUGACCCCCUGCGUGCCGCAGUUAACACAAUAAGUAUCCCACCUGGGGAGUACGAUCGCAAGAUUGAAACUCAAAUGAAUUGACGGGG
rnacentral:rRNA from 1 species